rnacentral:rRNA from 1 species
CGUAGGGUGCGAGCGUUAAUCGGAAUUACUGGGCGUAAAGUGUGCGCAGGUGGCCGCGCAAGUCGAGUGUGAAAUCCCCGAGCUUAACUUGGGAAUUGCGCUCGAAACUACGUGGCUCGAGUGUGGCAGAGGAAGGUGGAAUUCCACGUGUAACGGUGAAAUGCGUAGAGAUGUGGAGGAACACCGAUGGCGAAGGCAGCCUUCUGGGCCAACACUGACGCUCAUGCACGAAAGCGUGGGGAGCAAACAGGAUUAGAUACCCUGGUAGUCCACGCCCUAAACGAUGAUGACUAGUUGUUGGGGGAGUUAAAUCCCUUAGUAACGCAGCUAACGCGUGAAGUCAUCCGCCUGGGGAGUACGGUCGCAAGAUUA